CCGGGAUGGGGCUGUGUUCCUGGCAGUCCCCUGGGCUUCCUGCAGGGACCUGGAUUCUUAGUAUUUCAGGCUGCUGUCCCUUUUUUUUUUUCAUUUCCUUUUUGUUUUUGUUGUUGAUGUGACCGCGUGUCCACAACCCUGGGAUUCCCUCGCCCUCAGAUUCCAGAAUCCAAUUUCUUGGAUUUCAGUGUUUUUAAGGUGGGAGGUCUCGCUAUGCUUCCCAGGCUGGACUCAAAUUCCUGGGCUCAAGUGAUUCCCCCGCCUCAGCCUCCUGAGUAGCUGGGACUACAGAUAUGGCAUGUCAGUCUGGUGGUCUAGCCAGAGGAAGACUCCUGGAGCUGGUGAACUGUGCAUGGAUAUGCAGUCACGGGCAGCCCACCUCCUACUCCUCACCCUCCCUGUGCCUGUGAGGGUCUGCACUCACCCUGGUCUUGCUUUAUUGCCCAGGCUGGAGUACAGUGGCGCAAUCACGGCUCACUGCAGCCUCAACCUCUUGGGCCCGAGCAAUCUUCCCACCUUGGUCUCCUAAAGUGCUGGGAUAACAGGCAUGAGCCACCACAUCUGGCUGAGGCCCCACAUUUUCAUUUUGUGCUGAGACUUGUAAAUUAGGUAGCUGGUCCUGGCUGUAGCAGAUGGUAUAGAUUCUUUUUCUGGCUCUGUUUUUGUGACAUCUCAACUUACUGGGCUCUUAUUAAAGGUGAUUUAGGUGACUUAUCAACUUUUCAUGAGUACAGAUGAAGAACUCUUCUAGGGCAGGGGUCCCCAACCCUUGGGCCACAGACCAGUACUGGCCUAUUAGGAGCCAGGCCGCACAGCAGGAGGUGAGUGGCAGGCAAGCAAAUCAAGCUUCAUCUGUAUUUACAGCCACUCCCCAUCACUAGCAUUAUUGCCUGAGCUUGGCCUCCUGUCAGAUCAGUGGCGACCUUGAUUGUCAUAGGAGCGUGAACCCUCUAGUGAACUGCGCAUGGCAGAGAUCUAGGUUGCACUCUCCUUGUGAGAAUCUAAUGCUUGAUGAUCUGUCACUGUCUCCCAUCACUCCGAGAUGGGAUCGCCUAGUUGCAAGAAAACAAGUUCAAGGCUCUCACUGAUUUUGCCUUAUGCCCAAGAUUCAGAAUCCACUGGCCUUGAGUUCGCCCUGUCCUGGGGACAGUGGGACCUGUCACCUGCUGGCCAAGGAUUCCGUGAGUCAGGAGCUUGGCCAGGCUCAGCUGGGACACUCAUCUUUGCUUCACCUCAUGUCAGCUGCAGCAUCUUAGGAAUGCAAGACAGCCUCAUUCACAUCCGGCGGCGGGUGCUGGCUGUCCACUGGGUGCCUUCGCUCUUUUUCAAGUGGUUUCUCAUCCUCUGGGGUUUCACUGUCUCCAUGUGGCCUCCCUAGCAAGUUGCUUAGAUUUCUUUACGUGGAAACUGGCUUUCUAGAGGGUAAAAAUGGAAGCUGCAAGGACUCUUAUGGCCCAGAAGUCCCAGAACGUCACUUCUUCCACAAGUCAUAGGGCCAGCCAAGAUUCAAGGGGAAGGAAACAGACUCUGUCUCUUCAUAUUUCAAUGGGACAAAUUGUUGCAGCCACCUUUGGAAACAAUCUACUGCAAUACACUACAGCAGUGGACAUCUGGGCCCUUACCAGGUGCCAGACGCCGUACUAACAGCUUUAUACGGAUGAACUCAUUUAAUCCUCCCAAACUCCAUGAGGUUUUGCAGCCCUUGCCAUGAGUGGCCAGUUGCUGAUAGCAUUGCUGCUGCCUGUUGCUAUUCUGGGAUAGGAACUGAGGAUGUGCUGUGAUUACCCAGACCAGAAGGAAGCUCAGAAGGCACUGGUCCUCUCAGGUGGCACCCAGAUCCAGUGUGAGCCAUGGGGGAUGAAGGGUGGUUAAGUGAAAAGCUUUGGAGUGCUGACAGGUGGUCCCCCUGAUAUGCCAGGAAAUUACUUCCGGGCAAGAGAAACAAAGGAGAGUCCAUCUUCUAAUGUUACUGGCGCCAUACCAACAAGGUGUCAGCUAGAAACCUCUCUCUCUCUCUUGCAAAUUCUAGCCUGCAAAACCUGAGGACUGGCCUCAGGCUAGUCAGAAAUUUGCCUGAAAACAUCAUUCCUUGGGGUGGUGGGACUUCUGGGUAAGCCAGUGUGACUUGAAUUCUUGAUUUCUUAUACUCCCUUCUAACCAACCACCUGAAUGCUGAUCUCUACUAGCUGUCUGUGUGCCUUGCAUUUCAAUCAGCAGCCUUACAAAUGAUGAUGAGGAGAAGGAGGAGGAUGAGGACGAUAGCCAACAUUUACUGUUCUUUUGCUACUGUCCUAAGUACUUUACAAAUACCAGAUAAUUUUUUCUUCAUAACACUGUCAUUACUCCCAUUUUACAGAUGAAGAAAACAAAGCUUAAAUAGAUCACAUGAUUUGGUCAAGGUCACUCAUGUCACAGAGCCUGAAUCCAAAUCCAGUGAAGCCUCCAGAGCCUAGUUUCUACCCAUGACCCUGUGUUGCCUAUUGAUGGUACAGUGUAGGUUUUUUCCUUCUUCCUUUUUCUUUUUUUGAAAGUCUUUAUUGAAUUAUAAUUGGCAUACCAUUAACUGCAAAUAUUUGAAAAAUACAAUUUUAUGAGCUCUGACAUACAUACACCCAUAAAACCAUUGUUACAAUCAAGAUAAUGAAUAUGUCCGUCAUUCCCCAAAAGCUUCCCUGUGCCCCUUGGUAAUCCACCCCUCACUCCCCACCCCAUUCUGUUCCUAGGCAACCAAUCAUCUGUUUUCUGUCAGAUUAAUUUGCAUUUUCUAGAGUUUUAUAUAUGGAAGCAGACAGCAUGUACUCUUUUUUUGUCUGGCUUCUUUCACUCAGCAUAAUUAUUUUUAGGUUCAUCUAUAUUGGUGCACGUAUCAACAAUUCAUUCUUUUCUAUUCCUGAGUACUAUUCCAUUAUAUAGGUGUACUAAAUUUGUUUAUUCAACUCUUGAUGGACAUUGAGUUGUUUACAGUUUUUGGCUAUUACAAAUAAAGCUGCU
rnacentral:lncRNA from 10 species